UGUUUGAUUGAAUAUUUGAAAGAAUCAAACCUAAACUAACAUACUGUUUGAUUGAAUAUUUGAAAGAAUCAAACCUAAACUAACAUACUGUUUGAUUGAAUAUUUGAAAGAAUCAAACCUAAACUAACAUACUGUUUGAUUGAAUAUUUGAAAGAAUCAAACCUAAACUAACAUACUGUUUGAUUGAAUAUUUGAAAGAAUCAAACCUAAACUAACAUACUGUUUGAUUGAAUAUUUGAAAGAAUCAAACCUAAACUAACCAGGUUACCCCAUUCCCAAGCUUGCAGGGUAGGCACUGAAAAAGGUAGAUUGAAAAACAGAACUGUAUUACUAACCUAAAUGAAUGUAUUAUUCUAGUGUUUGUGUUAGAGAUAGGUUUACUGUUCAACAGGAUGAGGUUGGGUUGUUAAGUUUGAAAAUGGCUCUUAAUGAAGCAGUAAUAGGUUACUAUUUUGUCUGUGAUUGUUAAAUUAUUAGCAUGUGUAAAAGCUACAACUGCUAUAUGCUACAUAGUAAUAUUCUAUGUAUCUAUAUAUCUUUCCCUUUGCCCUAAUUAAAGGUUAAAUUCAAUAUCAAUGAAAAAUUUCUGCUCUUAUAAAUUGUCAAAAUGAGUUGUAGCCUAUUCCUAACUGAUCAGAAUUAGUUUGCAUCCUGAGAACACGUGAUUGAUGUAGUAUUUGUUUCAAUAGGCUAGAAAUUUAUCAUUUAAAUCAACACAAGGUUAUGUUAGCCAGUCAUUCAUUACACAUGUUUUUCUUUAGUUUGAGACAAGGUUAUGUUAGCCAGUCAUUCAUUACAUGUGUUUUUCUUUAGUUUGAGACAAGGUUAUGUUAGCCAGUCAUUCAUUACAUGUGUUUUUCUUUAGUUUGAGACAAGGUUAUGUUAGCCAGUCAUUCAUUACAUGUGUUUUUCUUUAGUUUGAGACAAGGUUAUGUUAGCCAGUCAUUCAUUACACAUGUUUUUCUUUAGUUUGAGACAAGGUUAUGUUAGCCAGUCAUUCAUUACAUGUUUUUCUUUAGUUUGAGACAAGGUUAUGUUAGCCAGUCAUUCAUUACAUAUGUUUUUCUUUAGUUUGAGACAAGGUUAUGUUAGCCAGUCAUUCAUUACAAAUGUUUUUCUUUAGUUUGAGACAAGGUUAUGUUAGCCAGUCAUUCAUUACAUGUGUUUUUCUUUAGUUUGAGACAAGGUUAUGUUAGCCAGUCAUUCAUUACAUAUGUUUUUCUUUAGUUUGAGACAAGGUUAUGUUAGCCAGUCAUUCAUUACAUAUGUUUUUCUUUAGUUUGAGACAAGGUUAUGUUAGCCAGUCAUUCAUUACAUUCAUUUGACUAGCUUCCAUAACCUUCUCUCGAUGGACAGAAGUGACAAAACAAAUGACUAACAUAACCUGGUCUCAGUGUUACAAAGGGCAGAGCAAGUUAAUAGUGACAGAAAUAAACAUUACAAAAGAUUUAGCAACCGAAGGGACAGGAGUACGCAUUGCUACAGAUGACACAGUAACCCAAGUGUGAUAGGGAUUGUAAUGUUACGGAAGAUAUGGUGACGUAAGUGACGAGGACCCAGCGUUACAGACAGCGUAGUGACUUAAGCAUGACAGGGAUUGUAGAAAGAUUGUGGAAUGAUUGUAUAAAAAAAGAUACAGUAACUCAGCAGUGACAUAGAUACGUAAUGUUACUGAGGACAUGGUAACUUACGUAUGAUGAGGAUCGUAAUGUUGCAGAUGAACUAACAAUAAUUUAAGUGUCAGAAUUCAUCAUGUUACAAAUGGCAUAUUAAUUUUAGUGGCAUGGAUCAGAAUGUUACAAAAUAUAUACGUAUAUUAAGUGGUACGGAUCGUAAUGUUACAAGAUACAUGGUACCCACACCGAUAUGUAUAUGUAAUGUUAAAUGACAUAGUAACUUAAAUUAAAUGGAUAUAUUACGCUAAAAAAGCUUAGUAACCAAAGUGACAUGUAUACGUAAUGUUACAAAUGGCAUAGUAACAAAUAAAAUGGAUACGUAAUGUUAACAAGACUUAGUAACCGCAGUGAAUGAAUGCGUAAUGUUAACAAGACUUAGUAACCAAAGUGAAUGAAUGCGUAAUGUUAACAAGACUUAGUAACCAAAGCGACAUAUACGUAAUGUUAGGGAUGACACAGUAACUUAAAUAUAAUGGUUAGUAAUGUUAACAAGACUUAGUAACCAAAGUGACAUAUACGUAAUGUUAGGGAUGACACAGUAACUUAAAUAUAAUGGUUAGUAAUGUUAACAAGACUUAGUAACCAAAGUGACAUAUACGUAAUGUUAGGGAUGACACAGUAACUUCAGUAUAACAUGGAUCGUAAUGUUACAUCUACAUAAAGACGAAAAAUGAGCAUAACAGUGAGUGCCGGGUUGCCGUAAUCUUGCCUCAACGUACAGAGAUCAAAUUAACACACGACAUACAAAUUGCAGUUACUUAUACAAGCACUUCGUAGGUAAGGUUGACAAGUUAUAUUCCAUUAGUUUAAAUGACGUAAUCUCUCCUUGACAUACAGAGAUCAAAUGAACAUACGACAUACGACUGAAUUGAAGUUACUUAUACAAACAUCUCAAAGGUAAGGUUGGCAUAACUUAUAUUUUGCUAGUUUAAAUGAUGUAAUCUUCCCUUUACAUACAGAUCAAAGUAACAUACGACAUAUGAAAUGAAUUGAUGUUACUUAUACAAACAUACCAGUGAAAUGAGGUUACUUAUACAAACAUACCAGUGAAUUGAGGUUACUUAUACAAAC